UACGUAGGGCGCAAGCGUUGUCCGGAAUUAUUGGGCGUAAAGAGCUCGUAGGCGGCCUGUUGCGUCCGCUGUGAAAUUCCGGGGCUCAACUCCGGGCCUGCAGUCGAUACGGGCGGACUAGAGUUCGGCAGGGGAGACUGGAAUUCCUGGUGUAGCGGUGAAAUGCGCAGAUAUCAGGAGGAACACCGGUGGCGAAGGCGGGUCUCUGGGCCGAUACUGACGCUGAGGAGCGAAAGCGUGGGGAGCGAACAGG
rnacentral:rRNA from 1 species